rnacentral:rRNA from 1 species
UACAGAGAGUGCGAACGUUGUUCGGAAUUACUGGGCUUAAAGCGCACGUAGGCGGCAUCGUAAGUGUCUGGUGAAAUCCCACGGCUCACCCGUGGAACUGCCAGGCAUACUGUGAUGCUCGAGUGUGGUAGGGGAGAGCGGAACUCCUGGUGGAGCGGUGAAAUGCGUAGAUAUCAGGAGGAACACCGGUGGCGAAGGCGGCUCUCUGGUCCACAACUGACGCUGAGGUGCGAAAGCGUGGGGAGCAAAC